rnacentral:rRNA from 1 species
AGGAUGGGCUUGCGGCCUAUCAGGUAGUUGGUGGGGUAAUGGCCUACCAAGCCGACGACGGGUAGCUGGUCUGAGAGGGUGACCGGCCACACUGGGACUGAGACACGGCCCAGACUCCUACGGGAGGCAGCAGUGGGGAAUAUUGCACAAUGGGCGCAAGCCUGAUGCAGCAACGCCGCGUGAGGGAUGAAGGCCUUCGGGUUGUAAACCCCUUUUAGUUGGGAAGAAGCGAAAGUGACGGUACCAACAGAAAAAGCACCGGCUAACUACGUGCCAGCAGCCGCGGUAAUACGUAGGGUGCAAGCGUUGUCCGGAAUUAUUGGGCGUAAAGAGCUCGUAGGCGGUUUGUCGCGUCUGCUGUGAAAAUCCAAGGCUCAACCUUGGACCUGCAGUGGGUACGGGCAAACUAGAGUGCGGUAGGGGAGAAGGGAAUUCCUGGUGUAGCGGUGGAAUGCGCAGAUAUCAGGAGGAACACCGAUGGCGAAGGCACUUCUCUGGGCCGUAACUGACGCUGAGGAGCGAAAGCGUGGGGAGCGAACAGGAUU